GCCGUCGCGUACGCGACGGCGAGCGCGCUGGUGCUGCAGCCGCUGGACGGCGGCGCGGCGACGCAGCGCCAGGCGUCCGGCUCGCCGGCGGCGCCG
rnacentral:tRNA from 1 species